CCUACGGGUGGCAGCAGUGAGGAAUAUUGGUCAAUGGGCGCGAGACUGAACCAGCCAAGUAGCGUGAAGGAUGACUGCACUGCGGGUUGUAAACUUCUUUUAUAAAGGAAUAAAGUGAGGCACGUGUGCCUUUUUGUAUGUACUUUAUGAAUAAGGAUCGGCUAACUCCGUGCCAGCAGCCGCGGUAAUACGGAGGAUCCGAGCGUUAUCCGGAUUUAUUGGGUUUAAAGGGUGCGUAGCUGGGUUGUUAAGUCAGGUGUGAAAGUUUGCGGCUCAACCGUAAAAUUGCAAUUGAUACUGGCAGUCUUGAGUACAGUUGAGGUAGGCGGAAUGCGCGGUGUAGCGGUGAAAUGCUUAGAUAUCACGAAGAACUCCGAUUGCGAAGGCAGCUUACUAAACUGCCACUGACAUUGAUGCUCGAAAGUGUGGGUAUCAAACAGGAUUAGAUACCCCGGUAGUC
rnacentral:rRNA from 1 species